UACGGGGGGGGCUAGCGUUGUUCGGAAUUACUGGGCGUAAAGGGCGCGUAGGCGGUCUGCUAAGUUGGAUGUGAAAACUCUGGGCUUAACCCAGAGCCUGCAUUCAAUACUGACAGGCUAGAGUUCUGGAGGGGAUAGCGGAAUUCCUGGUGUAGCGGUGAAAUGCGUAGAUAUCAGGAAGAACACCAAUGGCGAAAGCAGCUCUCUGGGACGGUACUGACGCUGAGACGCGAAAGCGUGGGGAGCGAACAGG
rnacentral:rRNA from 1 species